rnacentral:rRNA from 1 species
CCUACGGGAGGCAGCAGUGGGGAAUAUUGCACAAUGGGGGAAACCCUGAUGCAGCGACGCCGCGUGAAGGAAGAAGUAUUUCGUUAUGUAAACUUCUAUCAGCAGGGAAGAAAAUGACGGUACCUGCCUAAGACGCCCCGGCUAACUACGUGCCAGCAGCCGCGGUAAUACGUAGGGGGCAAGCGUUAUCCGGAUUUACUGGGGGUAAAGGGAGCGUAGGCGGCGAUGCAAGUAAGAAGUGAAGGGCCGGGGCUCAACGCCGGGACUGCUUGUGAAACUGUGUUGCUAGAUUGCAGGAGAGGUAAGUGGAAUUCCUAGUGUAGCGGUGAAAUGCGUAGAUAUUAGGAGGAACACCAGUGGCGAAGGCGGCUUACUGGACUGUAAAUGACGCUGAGGCUCGAAAGCGUGGGGAGCAAACAGGAUUAGAUACCCUUGUAGUC